CCUACGGGGGGCUGCAGUGGGGAAUAUUGGACAAUGGGGGCAACCCUGAUCCAGCCAUGCCGCGUGUGUGAAGAAGGCCCUCGGGUUGUAAAGCACUUUCAGUGAGGAAGAACGCCGGGUGGUAAAUACCCAUCGGGAAAGACAUCACUCACAGAAGAAGCACCGGCUAACUCCGUGCCAGCAGCCGCGGUAAUACGGAGGGUGCGAGCGUUAAUCGGAAUUACUGGGCGUAAAGCGCGCGUAGGUGGCUUGAUAAGCCGGUUGUGAAAGCCCCGGGCUCAACCUGGGAACGGCAUCCGGAACUGUCAAGCUAGAGUGCAGGAGAGGAAGGUAGAAUUCCCGGUGUAGCGGUGAAAUGCGUAGAGAUCGGGAGGAAUACCAGUGGCGAAGGCGGCCUUCUGGACUGACACUGACACUGAGGUGCGAAAGCGUGGGUAGCAAACAGGAUUAGAUACCCGAGUAGUC
rnacentral:rRNA from 1 species